GAGGGUUUAGUUAAAUCACAACAUUGUCUUGUCAAGACAAAAUUACUAGUUAGACUCUUGUAUCCCUCU
rnacentral:tRNA from 1 species